rnacentral:rRNA from 1 species
GAUGAACGCUGGCGGCGUGCCUAACACAUGCAAGUCGAACGGAGUCGUUUUGGAAAUCUCUUCGGAGAUGGAAUUCUCGACUUAGUGGCGGACGGGUGAGUAACGCGUGAGCAAUCUGCCUUUAAGAGGGGGAUAACAGUCGGAAACGGCUGCUAAUACCGCAUAAAGCAUUAAAUUCGCAUGUUUUUGAUGCCAAAGGAGCAAUCCGCUUUUAGAUGAGCUCGCGUCUGAUUAGCUAGUUGGCGGGGUAACGGCCCACCAAGGCGACGAUCAGUAGCCGGACUGAGAGGUUGAACGGCCACAUUGGGACUGAGACACGGCCCAGACUCCUACGGGAGGCAGCAGUGGGGAAUAUUGCGCAAUGGGGGAAACCCUGACGCAGCAACGCCGCGUGAUUGAAGAAGGCCUUCGGGUUGUAAAGAUCUUUAAUCAGGGACGAAACAAAUGACGGUACCUGAAGAAUAAGCGCCGGCUAACUACGUG